rnacentral:rRNA from 1 species
UACGUAGGGUGCGAGCGUUAAUCGGAAUUACUGGGCGUAAAGCAUGCGCAGGCGGUUUUGUAAGUCUGUCGUGAAAGCCCCGGGCUCAACCUGGGAAUUGCGAUGGAGACUGCAAGGCUUGAAUCUGGCAGAGGGGGGUAGAAUUCCACGUGUAGCAGUGAAAUGCGUAGAGAUGUGGAGGAACACCGAUGGCGAAGGCAGCCCCCUGGGUCAAGAUUGACGCUCAUGCACGAAAGCGUGGGGAGCAAACAGG